CUCUUUUCUUUAAUUCCACAUUUGUAUUAAUUAAAAUCUCUAUAAAAACCCAGUUAACUUGGGUAUUUGAAUAAUUGGGAAUAUUUCCCUGGUGACCACCUUAUAUUUGAUUUAAAAACCAAGACACUGUAGUGAAACAUAUUUUCUGUGGUCAAAUUUACUCACCCUCUCUUAUAUCUAUCACAAUUUAUAUCUUCCACCAUUUUAACUCACUACAGUUUACAACAUCACUCUUUUAACUGUUACAGUUUAAGGCUUUCAACCAUUUUAAAUCUAACAAUACCAAAGAUUAACUAGCAUAAAAAGAAUGGGAAAAAAAGGUGGGAAAAGGGGGUCCCUGUCUCUAGCUAAAACCCUUUUCCCUCCCUCCUCAAGUUUGGGGAAAACUCAGGCCUUGGCAGCCUGAGUCCCCUAAGAGAAAAUCAGGUUGACUCACCCUGGGUUUGGCUCCUUGGCCACAGUUCAGACUCAGGGCAACAGGAGCUGAAGUAAAGUCCAACAGAGAUUUAAAAUGCUUUUCUCAGGUUUCCUCCUCAAUAGUCUUUUCAAUUGGGAAAUGUUGGGGGGAAAGAUUUCCAGUCACCAGCAGGAAAAGUGGGCAACCCUCAGAAAAAAGUCUUUUUCCACCUUCUCUCUUUAGCUUCUCAAGACUGAGAGACCAACUCUUCCACCAACCAGAGUCUUCUCCACAAGAUUCCCGCCUCCUGGGGCCCCUCCCCCAUCAAGUUCUUUCUCUGCAUGUGGAUAGUGUUCUUUCUCACAAGUUCCUCUGGAUUGCCCUGGGUCAUUGCAUUGCUGCUAGUACAAAAGUCCAUUACAUUCGAUUGUGCCAUGAUGUAUCAGACUCGGUGUACCAUGUCCCCAGAGAAACUCCUGCCUCUGAAGAGUAUAAGCAGGAGGAGCAUGCGAACCAAAGGAACAUCAUUCCCCGGGCCUCUAAAUGGACAAAAGAUUAGUAUUAGUAUUAGUAGUUCAAAGAACUGAACACUUCCCAUUAGGAACUGAUCUAGAAAAGAAAAUUUUCUCACGUGUGAGAGAGAAACCUGAAUGCCUCUUUUAUUUCCGGUUUCUUUUAGGGAACCAGACCUUUGCAUCACAGUGACACCUGUUGUUACAAAAUAUGCA
rnacentral:lncRNA from 1 species